rnacentral:tRNA from 1 species
GGGCCCAUAGCUCAGCGGUAGAGCAUCUGACUUUUAAUCAGGGGGUCGAUGGUUCGAAUCCAUCUGGGCUCACCA